rnacentral:rRNA from 1 species
CAAUAGCGUAUAUUAAAGUUGUUGCGGUUAAAAGCUCGUAGUUGGAUUUCGAUCGGGAACUGGUGGUCCAUCUUUUGGAUGUGCAUCUACAUAGGUCUUGGUCUCCUCUCGAAAAACGUUUCUGCGCUUGAUUGCGUGGUGCGGUGUUCGGGACUUUUACUUUGAGGAAAUUAGAGUGUUCACGGCAGGCAUACGCCUUGAAUAUAUUAGCAUGGAAUAAUAAUAUAGGAUCUUGGUUCUAUUUUGUUGGUUUCUAGAGCUAAGAUAAUGAUUAAUAGGGACAAUUGGGGGCAUUCGUAUUGACGAGUCAGAGGUGAAAUUCUUGGAUUUCGUCACGACGAACUACUGCGAAAGCAUUUGCCAAGGAUGUUUUCAUUGAUCAAGAACGAAAGUAAGGGGAUCGAAGACGAUUAGAUACCAU